AAUUGCACAUUGCACACCGUUAAUUCGCGCACUGGGGUUGAAUGUUGUUGUAGUAAUGUCUGAUUUGGGGAGCAAUUUUCAAAGUUUGGCUAAGCACCUGAACAUCAGUCCAGAGAGUCCUUUGUUUAUGCACAAUCAAAGAAAGGUUUAUUUGAUGUUUGAUCCACCACAUCUGAUCAAACGUGUUAGAAAUAAUUUGAUGAAAUACACUUUCAAGUUCAACCAGUUCACAGCCAAGUGGCAGGAUAUUGUGGAUUUCUACAAUAAAGAUAAAAAGUUGUCAAUAAGAGCAGCACCUAAACUGACUGAUAAGCACAUUGCACCAAACAACUUUGCAAAGAUGAAGGUGAAAUAUGCUACCCAAGUCUUAAGCCACACAGUAGCAGCAUCCAUAUGCACAUAUGUAAGUGUUGGAUGUCUGUCGUCAUCAGCUAUGGGCACUGCAGAAUGCCUUUUGAAGUUUGAUUCUCUGUUUGAUUCUGUGAACUUGUGUUCCUGAUCACAAGAAAGAAUUACAAUCAAACUUCGACUUAAAGUAUCUGCAAGAAUAAUGGCGUCUUUACAUCAAUUUUACCCUGAAUGCGCAAAUGAAGACAUUGAAAAAGACUUAGUAAAAACGGUUGAAGUAUU